rnacentral:misc_RNA from 1 species
GAUGAAGAACGUAGCGAAAUGCGAUAAGUAAUGUGAAUUGCAGAAUUCAGUGAAUCAUCGAAUCUUUGAACGUACAUUGCGCCCCUUGGUAUUCCGAGGGGCAUGCCUGUUCGAGCGUCAUUAUAACCCCUCAAGCUCAGCUUGGUGUUGGGGCCUGCCGCACGGGCAGCCCUUAAAAUCAGUGGCGGUGCCAUCUGGCUCUAAGCGUAGUAAUUCUUCUCGCUAUAGAGUCCCGGUGGAUGCUUGCCAUUAACCCCCAAUUUUCUAUGGUUGACCUCGGAUCAGGUAGGGAUACCCGCUGAACUUAAGCAUAUCAAUAAGCGGAGGA